GGGGAAUUUUCCGCAAUGGGCGCAAGCCUGACGGAGCAAUACCGCGUGAGGGAGGAAGGCCUUUGGGUUGUAAACCUCUUUUAUCAGGGAAGAAAAUUUGACGGUACCUGAAGAAAAAGCAUCGGCUAACUCCGUGCCAGCAGCCGCGGUAAUACGGAGGAUGCAAGCGUUAUCCGGAAUCAUUGGGCGUAAAGGGUCCGCAGGUGGCUAUUCAAGUCUGCUGUCAAAGCCAGUGGCUCAACCACUGAAAGGCAGUGGAAACUGGGUGGCUAGAGUACGGUAGGGGUAGAGGGAAUUCUCAGUGUAGCGGUGAAAUGCGUAGAUAUUGGGAAGAACACCGGUGGCGAAAGCGCUCUACUAGGCCGAAACUGACACUGAGGGACGAAAGCUAGGG
rnacentral:rRNA from 1 species